rnacentral:tRNA from 1 species
GCCUGGGUGUUUCAGUGGGUUAAGCGUCUGACUUCAGUUCAGGUCAUGAUCUCAUGAUCUGUGAGUUCCAGUCCCACCUCAGGCU